rnacentral:lncRNA from 10 species
CUGCAAAAGACUGCAGACUUCUCAUAGAAUCAAUGAAAGUCAGCAAACAAUGGAACGGCAUCUGAAAAGUGAUGAAAGAAUAAAUCUGUUAACUCCGAAUGGUAUCAGUGAAAAUCUCUCUCAAAAUGGAAAAAUAAAACUAUUUGGGGAUAAAUAAAACAGAGAAUUUGUGGCCAGCAGUCCAAAGACUGUUUUUCUUUUCUUAAAUUCUUUAAAAAUUAAUCCACCUUUUAAAGUAAAAAUAACAAUGCAUUCUGGGAUCUAUAAGACAUACAAAAAUAAAGUAUAUGACCACAAUAACACCAAAGGCCGGAGAAGAUGUGAUGGCAUUACAUAUAUAUAUAUAUAUAUAUUUGUUUAUUUAAUUUAUUUAUUUAUUGAGACGGAGUUUCGCUCUUGUUGCCCAGUGUGGGGUGCAACGGCGCAAUCUUGGCUCAUUGCAACUUCCACCUCCCCGGUUCAAGCAACUCUCCUGCCUCAGCCUCCUGAGUAGCUGGGAUUACAGGCAUGAGCCACCAUGCCCGGCUAAUUUUGUAUUUUUAGUAGAGAUGGGGUUCCUCCAUGUUGGUCAGGCUGGUCUCGAACUCCUGACCUCAGGUGAGCUGCCCGCCUCGACCUCCCAAAGUGCUGGGAUUACAGGCGUGAGCCACUGCGCCCAGCCCUGGCAUUAUAUUUUUGUAACGUUCUUACGUUAUACAUGAAGUGGUGUAAUAUUAUUGGAAAGUAGACUGGAUAUUGAAGAAUGCAUAUUGUAACACUCCAGCAACCAAAAAUAUAAGGAGGCAUAGCUAAAAAGUAAGUAGAGAAGAUGGAAUAAAAUAUUUUAUUAAGUCUCAACCAAAUAGAAGGCAGUAAAGGAGGAACAAAAGAGGGGGGACAAAUAGAUAACAAAUAGCAAGAUGAUAAAACUUAAACCCACCCAUAAUGAUAAGUAUAUUACAUAUGAAAGGACUAGGCACUGCCAUUGAAAGGCAGAUAUUGCCAGACUUGAUUGAAAAGGAUCUUAGCUGAAUUCUUGUCUGUAAAUGGUGAGAAUUAAAUGAGACUGUGAAUCAAAGCACUGAGCACAGUGCCUGGCCCACACAGGAGGCUUCUUCAGUGAAAACUCUGAACAUAUUCUAAUAAGAGUCCUGCUUUCCUUCACGCCUGUCUGUGAGCUCUGUGGGGAGGCCCCAGAGCUGAGCAUUCAUCUAAUCAGCCUUUGUGGACCUCCAACGUCAUGCCAGACAGAUGGGGCCCUUAUCACCUGGCAGUUGCAUGUAGGUUAUAUGUCUACUUUUCAGGAACAGUGAAAUGACCCCUCCUCCUGUGCCUCCUCCAAAGAGGAGUUGGAGAAGGAGCCAGGGCACAAAGAGACAGAUUGUCAAAACCAUGCCUAUGCCGGGCAUGGUGGCUCAUGCCUGUAAUCCUUGCACUUUGGGAGGCUGAGGCAGGCAGAUCACUUGAGGUCAGGAGUUUGAGACCAGCCUAGCUAACAUGAUGAAACCCUAUCUCUACUAAAAAUACAAAAAUUAGCUGGGCAAGGUGGCACGCACAUGUAAUCUCAGCUACUCAGGAGGCUGAGGCAGGAGAAUCGCUUGAACCCAGGAGGUGGAGGUUGCAGGGAGACGAGAUGGUGCCACUUCACUCCAGCCUAGGCGACAGAGCGAGGUUCCAUCUCAAAAACAAAACACGACAAAACAAAACGAAAAACCAUGCCUAGAGCUGAGACAUCCUGAGGCUGGCUGGGGUCAUCGGCUUGUGGUCAGUGUAGCCACCGCAUGUUGGCCCACACCCUCCCCUUCCCUGGAAGCUGAGGCCAGAGGUCUGCCCAUUAAUCUCCCAGUGCCCCAGGGCUUCAUGGGAAGCCCCUUUCCCCAGAGAAGCUCUUGUUCUCUAGCGUGGAAGCCCAGCUCCUUACUUAUUCCUGGAGUCUAGCUCCCUCUAGUCAAGCCAGAGUACCCAGCUUUUGGUCAGGGGGCUGUACGUGUGGGGCAAAGGGCAAAGUGGUGUCCAGGACCUGGAGCAGGAAAAGCUUGCAUUAUGCUCUGUGUCAAGCCAGUGGGGGCUACAGGUCCUGGGUUACUACUUGCCAGUUGGUGGUUGUGUGGGCAAGGAAAGGGGGAUCAUGGGUGGGACCCUGAGAGGCACUUCUCAUUCCCCUGUGAGAGGCCCCACAUCUGGCCUCUCCAGACAGACUCCAUGCUGGAUAACAGUUGGGUUCAGAACUUUAAGGAACAAAUUGCUGUUUCCAGCUCAGCUGUUCAGUCCAUUGGGCUCCUCCUCUUCCAAAUCCCCUAUCACUAACCCUCCUGCCGCAUGAGGGUAACCUCUACCCCUAUUUCUAACACCAUGGAGUAGUUUUGCCUGUUUUUGUCCUUUAUAUAUGUGAACUAUUUUGCACAUUAAGGUUGUAGAUUCAUCUAUAUUGUUGUGUACGGUUUGUUUAUUCUUAAAGCUGAUCAAUCAUCCCCUGUAUGAAUGAAUAGUCUAUAAUUUCUCUCUGUUCUAAAGCCGGAGGAUAUUCAGAUUCUUUCCAGUUUAGGGCUAUCCUGAAUAGUGUUGGUGUGAAUAUUCCAGGUUAUGUCUUUCUUUCUUCCUUUUUUUUUAAUUGAGACAAGAUCUUGCUCUGUCACCCAGGCUGGAGUGCAGUGGCGAGAUCACAAUUCACUGUAGCCUCCACCUUCCGGGUUCAAUCAAUCUGCAUGCCUUGGCCUCCUGAGUAGCUGGGACUACAGGCAUAUACCAUCAUGCCUGGCUACUUUUUAGUAGAGACGAGGUUUUGCCUUGUUGCCUAGGCUGCUCUCGAACUUCUGGGCUCAAGCAAUCCUCCCUCCUUGGCCUCCCGAUGUGCUGGGAUUACAGGCAUGAACCACCUCACCUGGCACAGGUUACAUCUUUUGAUGAACACGUGGAUGCAUUUCUUUUGCCUGUAUGCCCAGGAGUGGAAAUGCUUGGUCAGAGGGCAGGGUGUGUUCAACACAAUUAAACCUUACGGAUGCUUUCGUGGUGGUUAUACUAAUUUAGAUUCCCAUCAGCAAUGUCUGAGAGUUCUGGUUGCUCCAUAUCCUCAUCAGCACUUGGUAUUGCCAGUCUUUUUCACUUAAACUUCUCUGGUGUCUGAAGCGGUAGCUCACUGUGGUUUUGUAUUCUCCUUGCUAUUGUCCGAAUGUUUGAGUUUCUCCCAAAAACUCAUACGUUAAGACUUAAUCGGCUGGGUGCAGUGGCUCAUGCCUGUAAUCCCAGCAUUUUGGGAGGACGAAGUGGGCGGAUCAUGAGGUCAGGAGUUCGAGACCAGCCUGACCAACAUGGUGAAACCCUGUCUCUACUAAAAAUAUGAAAAUUAGCCGGGCAUGGUGGCACACGCCUGUAAUCCCAGCCACUUGGGAGGCUGAGACAGGAUAAUCACUUCAGCCCGGGAGGCAGAGGUUGCAGUGAACCAAGAUUACGCCACUGCACUCCAGCCUAGGCAACAGAGUGAGAGUCCAUCUCAACAACAACAACAACAAAAAGACCUAAUCACCAAGGUGAUGGUGUUAGAAGGUGUUAGAAGAUGGGGAUCUUUGAAAGGUGAUUAGGUCAUGAGGGCUCUAUCCUUGUGAAUUGGAUAACUGCCCUUAUAAAAGAGGCCCCAGAGAACUGUCUUCCCCCUUCCACCAUGUGAGGAUACAGCAAGAAGGUGCCAUGUUUGAAGCAGGGAACGGGCUCAGGCACCGGAUCUACUGCUGCCUUGAUCUUGGACUUCCCAGCCUCCAGAACUGUGAGCAAUAAAUUCCGUUGUUUAUAAAUUUCCCAGUCUAAGGUAUUUUGUUACAGUAUCCUGAACUGACCAAGCCACCCCCAUGAGUCAUGAAGCUAGCAGCUUUUCGUGUAUUUGUUGGCCUCCUAAGUACUCUUGUUAUGAAGUACUUUAAUGCAAGCCCUCCCCCAUUUUUCUCUUGAAUUGUCUGCCUUUUUCUUUUUGGUUUGUAGGAGUUCUUCAUAUAUAGUGGGAAAAAAUCAUUUGGGAUGUGUGUGUGUGCGCACACGCAAAUGCAUGCAUGCACGUGUUUAAAAGGCCAAUAUUCUCUGUCCCACAAAUUCAGAACACCACAGUGGUUGGGCCAUAAUUGCACUGUGGGUGGUGGCAGGGUUUCAGACAAAAGGCAUAAUAACAUGUCACAUAAAAUUAAUCUGAUUUGAAUCGAUUUUGUACGUGAUGGGUCAAUUUGUCUUGGUCUGAUGCUUGUAUAAGAGCUACAAGGAGUUUAUAUCUCAUUUUAUGCUUGCACAUGUUUAAGUAAUACACAAUAAAAAUCAUUUAAGGCAACAGUGAGGGCCCAGGAGAUGCCCUUCUUCUCUAGGUAAGCAGGAGAUUCUCAAAACACAAAUCCAAUCUGUGACUCCCCUGCUUAAUGCAUCUCAAAAGAUCCUUUUUUUGUCUAGGAUGGAGAUGAGACUCCUUCCCCUGGUAGGCGGCCUCCUCGGACCUGCUCCCCUGCACUGUUCACUGAAGCCGCCGCCUCCUUCUGGGCAUGGUCUCUCCAUGUCUUCUCUCUCCACAUAAGCCCCCAGCCCCUGUUUUGGAGCAGCUGCUGCCCUGACCACCCCUUUUGCUUAGACUUAGCUCAAUCAUCCCUUCUCUGGGAAGCUCCCACUGUGGCCUCUGAAACCACCAUCCCAGCUGGGCACUUUGCUUCCUUUUUUUUUUUUUUUUUUGAGACAGAGUCUCGCUCUGUCGCCCAGGCUGGAGUGCAGUGGCGCCAUCUCGGCUCACUGCAACCUGUGCUCCUGGGUUCACGCCAUCCUCCUGCCUCAGCCUCCCGAGUAGCUGGAACUACAGACGCCCGCCACCACGCCCAGCUAAUUUUUUUGUAUUUUUAGUAGAGACAGGGUUUCACCGUGUUAGCCAGGAUGGUCUCAAUCUCCUGACCUCAUGAUCCGCCCGUCUCGGCCUCCCAAAGUGCUGGGAUUACAGGCGUGAGCCACCACGUCCGGCCUUUGCUUCUUUGCAUAAUCUCAGCUGAGAUUUAUAAUUUACUUGUGGGAUUCUCCCCUCUCAAACUAUAAGUUCUGUGAAGACAGAGAUGGUAUUUUUUUCUCCUCACUUUAUUUAUUUAUUUGAGACAGAGUCUCACUAUGUUGCCCAGGCUGGAGUGCAGAGGUGCAAUCUCGGCCCACUGCACGCUCCACCUCCUGAGUUCAAGUGAUUCUCCUGCUCAGCCUCCUGAGUAGCUGGGACUACAGAUAUGCACCACCAUGCCUGGCUAAUAUUUGUAUUUUUAGUAGAGACGGGGUUUUGCCAUGUUGGCCAGGCUGGUCUCAAACUCCUGACCUCAGGUAAUCCACCUGCCUCUGCCCCUCAAAGUGCUGGAAUUACAGUCACGAGCCACUGCGCCCGGCCUUCUCCUCACCUUUUUCUCCAGUGUCCACUCCAGCAUGCAGUAUUUGAUAAGCGCUCAGUAAAUGUUUGUUGAAUGACUUACUAACCUGAGCUUGUGUUAACUCUCUCACUGUAUUGAUUCUGAAAGGCAAAGAGGGCCCAAGGUCACAUGUAGGGAAGGGCCAAAGGCAGGACUGGAGCCCAGCAAUUCUUGUUCAACCACACGGAAUGGGAAGUAAAGUCCUCUUUGGCCAGCAGCAGAGGGGCCAGGUCCCCCUUGUCAUCAGCCUGGAAGACCCUAAAGGAUCAUCUAGGACAAUUCUUUCAUUCUUUGAAUGGGGCAUCUAAAACUGAAGAGUGGACAGGGAUUGUCUAGAGUCAUACGGUGAAGGUGAUCCGGAAGUUCCGCUAGAGAACACAGCAGAUUCUAUCCUGUAGAAACACAAUGGGUUCUACCCAGAUUGCCUGACACUCAAUAUUCUUUUUUAAUUAAACUAAAUUAAUUAACUACUUUUUGAGUGCAGUGUUGUGAUCUCAGCUCACUGCAACCUCCACCUCUCAGGUUCAAACAAUUCUCCUGCCUCAGCCUCCCGAGCUGCUGGGAUUACAGGUGUGUGCCACCACGCCCAGCUAAUUUUUGUAUUUUUAGUAGAGUCAGGGUUUCGUCGCGUUGGCCAGGCUGGUCUUGAACUCUUGGCCUCAAGCAAUCCACCUGCCUCAGCCUCCCAAAGGGCUGGGAUUUCAGGCGUGAGCCACUGAGAGGGGCUCUGACACUCAACAUUCUUUCCAGUAUCCCCAACUCUCCUGGAGGUGAAGGACUAAGGGGGUGGGGGCAUGGCUCUCAGACUCCAGACUGACAACCUAAUAUUGAGGCUGGGCUGGGAGUGGAACCGAGAUUUCCCAGCCUGAGGCCAAUGGAUGACAAGGGCCUUUCUUGUUCUCCUCCAGAGCCUCUUCUGGAGCCCCACUAGGGAAUUCCUGUCCUUGGAAAAGUGGGAGAGGACCAGAACAUUCUGGAAUAAAGACUGGAGACAUUCAGAGUGACGCAAGAAGUACAGUCCACAGUGGAGGAAAACUCCAGCUGCCAGGCAAUUGCCCGCUGGUCCCUGGCCUGGUCUAGGUGGUUGUGGGGGAAGGGGAGCUAACUGCAGUGACUCACUUAACCCUUUCCGGGCAGAGGAAGAUAACGCUUUUUAAUUGAAGAAAUUUUUUAAUUAAAAAACAUUUUUUUGACGGCUUCUUGUUGAGCAGGGCUACCCCACAGGCCAUGUGCCUAGAGUGGCCUUAAUUGAAAUUUUUGUUACAAUCAUUGUAGAUUCCUGUACAGUUAUAAGAAAUAAAACAGCCGGGCGUGGUGGCUCAUGCCUGUAAUCCCAGCACUAUGGGAGGCCGAGACGGGCGGAUGACGAGGUCAGGAGAUUGAGACCAUCCUGGCUAACACGGUGAAGCCCCGCCUCUACUAAAAAUACAAAAAAUUAGACGGGCGAGGUGGCGGGCGCCUGUAGUCCCAGCUACUCGGGAGGCUGAGGCAGGAGAAUGGUGUGAACCCAGGAGGCGGAGCUUGCAGUGAGCCAAUAUCGUGCCACUGCACUCCAGCCUGGGCGACAGAGCGUCUCCAAAAAAAAAAAAAAAAAAAGAAGAAAUAAAACAGAGAGGCUGGGCACAGUGGCUCACGCGUGUAAUCCCAGCACUUUGGGAGGCCGAGGCAGGUGGAUCACCCAGCCUGGGCAACAAGAGGGAAACUUCAUCUCAAAAUAACAACAACAACAAAAAAGAAAACAGAGGGAUCCCAGGUACCCGCCUUCACUCAGUUUCCCCAAUGGUAACAUCUCGCAGAACUACUGGGCGCCAUCACAGCCGGGGUCUGACUGCUCUUGCUCAGGUUUCCCCGGUUUUCCGUAUCCUCACGUGUGUGUAUUUACUUCUGUGCAAUUUUAUCGCAGGCCAAGGCAGGCGGAUCACCUGAGCUCAGGAGUUUGAGACCAGCCUGGGCAACAUGGUGAAACCCUGUCUCUACAAAAAAUACAAAAAUUAGCCGGACACGGUGGCACGUGCCUGUAGCCCCAGCUCCUUGAGGGUCUGAGAUGGGAGGAUCACUUGAGCCCAGGAGGUGGAGGUUGCAGUGAGCCCAUAUUGCGCCACUGUACUCCAGCCUGGGUGACAGGGCGAGACCCUGUCUCAAAAACAAAAACAAAUAAACAGAAUGAGAGUAUGCAACCUUUUGGGACUGGCUUUUCCCCUCAGCAGACACCACUUUUCUUGAGCACCUUGAUCUCAUAGUCCCAGGGACGGCUUCUGUUAUUCCCAUUUUACAGCUGAGCAAACUGCUCCCCAACGCCCAACCCCCAGAGCCAGCGCUCAUGAUGGCUAAUUUGGGGAGCAUCUCCUCCAGGAGAGGAGGCCAGUUACAGAAUCAAAAUGACUCAGGCUGGGCUCUGUGGUGCGUGUCUGCAGU